CUCUCUCUCUCUCUCUCUCUCUCUGUGUAUCAAUCUCUCUUGAAAUGGUGAAGAAAAAGGUUCCUGAUUGGCUCAACAGCUCUCUCUGGGCCACUACCACCAGUUCUUCCUCGUCCGCCGACGACGAUCGCCUUCAACGCUACUCGUCCUAACACUCCAUUAUCGCCGCCAACGGAGCCUCUCGAUGGGUCACCGGUUCCGGUCUCAACGCCGGCCUCAAUAAGAGAGCAGCCUCCUCGUCCUUCGAAGCCUGAAAUCAAAAUUAAGGAUAAAGAUAAGGAUUCGCGAAACAGCGUUAGUAGUAAUAUCAAUAAUAAUGAGGAGGAUAAUGGGAACUCCGUUGCCGGUCCCUCUGCUGAGGAUAUUUCUAGACAGGCUCAGCUCUUGACCGAGUUGUCGAAGAAGGUGGUAAAUAUUAGGGAGUUAAGGAGAAUUGCAUCUCAGGGGAUACCUGAUGGUGCUGGCAUUCGUUCCAAGGUCUGGAAGCUUUUACUGGGGUAUUUACCAGCUGAUCGCUCACUUUGGUCAAGUGAACUGGCUAAGAAGAGGUCUCAGUACAAGCAUUUUAAAGAGGAGCUUUUAAUCAAUCCUUCGGAAAUCACAAGGAGGUUGGAGAAAUCCACAGUUUGUGAAAAUGAUGAGGCAAAAAGUGAAAGCAGUGGUAUGCUAUCAAGAUCACAAAUAACCCAUGGAGAGCAUCCUUUGAGCCUUGGGAAGACCAGCAUCUGGAAUCAGUUCUUCCAGGACGCAGAGAUCAUGGAGCAAAUUGACCGAGAUGUGAAACGUACUCAUCCAGACUUGCACUUCUUUUCUGGGGACUCAUCUUUUGCAAAAUCCAAUCAGGAGGCUUUGAAAAACAUACUGAUUGUAUUUGCUAAAUUAAAUCCGGGCAUAAGAUAUGUUCAAGGGAUGAAUGAAAUUCUGGCACCUCUUUUUUAUGUAUUUAGAAAUGACCCUGACGAGGAAAUGGCGGCUUGUUCUGAAGCAGACACAUUCUUUUGUUUUGUUGAAUUAUUAAGUGGAUUUCGGGAUCAUUUCUGUCAGCAACUUGAUAACAGUGUUGUUGGGAUUCGUUCAACAAUUACAAAGUUGUCACAGCUUUUGAAAGAACAUGAUGAAGAACUUUGGCGCCAUCUUGAGGUCACAACCAAGGUCAACCCCCAAUUUUAUGCAUUUAGGUGGAUUACUCUCCUCUUGACUCAGGAAUUCAAUUUUGCUGAUUGUCUUCAUAUUUGGGACACACUUCUGAGCGACCCUGAAGGUCCACAGGAAACUUUACUACGGAUUUGUUGUGCAAUGCUGAUUCUCAUUCGGAGGCGACUACUAGCAGGGGAUUUCACUUCUAAUCUCAAGCUUCUCCAGAACUAUCCACCUACAAAUAUCAGCCAUUUGCUUUAUGUUGCAAACAAGUUGCGUGCUCAACCAUCGGGCUAAUUAAUUUUUAUCACA
rnacentral:misc_RNA from 1 species